rnacentral:rRNA from 1 species
AUGAACGCUGGCGGCGUGCUUAACACAUGCAAGUCGAACGGGGAUGCUAUUUUCGAGGCGGUUAGUUUACUAAGCGCCAAGAUGCCGGCAUCUUAGUGGCGGACGGGUGAGUAACGCGUGGGUAACCUGCCUUAUACAGGGGGAUAACACUUAGAAAUAGGUGCUAAUACCGCAUAAGCGCACGGGGCUGCAUGGCCCAGUGUGAAAAACUCCGGUGGUAUAAGAUGGACCCGCGUCUGAUUAGCUUGUUGGCGGGGUAACGGCCCACCAAGGCGACGAUCAGUAGCCGGCCUGAGAGGGUGGACGGCCACAUUGGGACUGAGACACGGCCCAAACUCCUACGGGAGGCAGCAGUGGGGAAUAUUGGACAAUGGGGGGAACCCUGAUCCAGCGACGCCGCGUGAGUGAAGAAGUAUUUCGGUAUGUAAAGCUCUAUCAGCAGGGAAGAAAGAAAUGACGGUACCUGACUAAGAAGCCCCGGCUAACUACGUGCCAGCAGCCGCGGUAAUACGUAGGGGGC